GCUCUGGGGAUAGCUCAGUUGGCAGCGCAUGGGACUCUUAAUCUCAGGGUUGUGGGUUCGAGCUCCACGUUGGGUA